AACCUGAAACUCAGAUGUGCAUUCGCCUGGUUCAAAACUGGACCCGUUACACUGCAAUGGUGCUGAGCAGGUGCCAAUUGCCCCAUCCUGCGGAUGUCCAGAAUGCUUCCUUUUAUGCCAUCCCCCACAUACUCAAGGGAGGGAGGGAAAAGAAUGGGCUGGGAGCUACCCCGGGGUGGGGAAGGGGAAGCGGCCAAUGCAUUCCAUUCCCACGGCAUUCAGUGUGCAGUUGCAGUUGCCAACCACCCCUGGAAAUGCAGACUUGCCUCACCAGCCCCUUGGAAAACAUGCCAGGUCGCAGGCAGCCCCUUGAGGCCAGGUCUCUAGUAAAGCUUGCCUCUGGAUGGCUGCAGAUGGAAAGGACUUGGUUCUUAGCACCCAGGAAGAAUCUCUCUCAAUUGAUUAUUUACUUAUUAAGGCAACGAGGAUCCAAGCAGACAUGGAUUCAUGCAGGGCUUGUGCCAGCCUGCAGCCUCCAGCUCUCUCCAGGAACCAGACCUCUCUCAUCCCGCUUCUGGAACAGCGCUGCUACAGAUGCAAUAAACAUUUACGGUGCAUCUAC